UGGACACGUCUAUUCAAGAUAAUUCUGAAGUCUCUGAACUCUCUCUGAAGCAGGUCACCACAGGGGAAGUACACUCCAUUUCAGCGGUGAACUUUAGUUAGCAGAUACCUUCAGACAAUUAACUCUCCUCCAACUCUGCUGAAUUUGCCUCAUUUAUAACAGUCCCAUCUACUCAGCAUUUCUCUGAUUCCAGUUAAUACACUGAUCUAGCAAAAUAAUUGAAAAUUUCAUGUUAUCACACACCGCAUUCAAUAAAUGAUUUUUUUUCUUUAGAAG
ensembl:lncRNA